UAGGAGCCGGCGGCGUGCUCGCUAGAUGAUGGCCGCCGGCGCGCAUUGCGCGUUUUCUUCUCUCGCCUGCUGAGGCGCCAGCGGCUGCUUCACGAGUGGGUAGAGAGUUCCUCCGUGCUGUUCCCGGUGUUGCGGUGCUGGGUUGUGCGACUGUGACUCGAGCCUGUUUCAGCCUCGUUCUUCUGGUCUCUGUUCGGCCCUCAGUUUCCUUUGGAUGAACUUGCGUCCUUUCUCUAAUCCGCCAUGGAAUUCUGCUCCGUGCUUUUAGCCGUCCAGAGCCAAAGAAACCCCAGACAACAGACGCUCAAACGCAGCGUAUAGCAGUAACUCCCCAGCUCGGUUUCUGUGCCGUAGUUUACAGUAUUUAAUUUUAUAUAAUAUAUACUAUUUAUUAUAGCAUUUUUUGAUACCUCAUU
rnacentral:lncRNA from 1 species